CGGGCGAUCCUCCCACCCUUUGUGUACCUACCUCUGUUGCUUUGGCGGGCCGCGGUCCUCCGCGGCCGCCCCCCUCCCCGGGGGGUGGCCAGCGCCCGCCAGAGGACCAUCAAACUCCAGUCAGUAAACGAUGCAGUCUGAAAAACAUUUAAUAAACUA
rnacentral:rRNA from 1 species